rnacentral:lncRNA from 1 species
AAUUGAAGAGGGUCCUCAUGUAGCAGUAGCAGCAGCAGCAUGAAGAAUUGAAGACCGACCAACAGAGCCUGCAAUGCAAACAGAGAGGCAUGAGGAAACUGAAUCCAAUCACAUCAAAUCAAAUCGAGCUGCUGCACCUUGACCUUGAGGAAAACAAACCUCAUCUCAUGUCAUCUCAGGGAAGAAUAAGAAGAAAAAUAUAUGGCUGCUGCUCCAUGACCAUGACCCUGAAUUGUUGCUGCUGCACCAGAUCAAGGACGAAGAAGACCUGCAAAAAAGCAAUAACUAGCAAUGCACAAGCAUGAAUUCAUGGAAGGACGGAUGCAAGGCCAAACAUCCAGCAUACUGUUUCUUAAUGCCCCAACUACUUAAAAAACCAUGGUAGUUCUAACCAUAUUAAAUUAAAGGACAAAGUGAAGUCAUGAUAUUGAGAGUUCCAUCUUAUAAAGCUUUCUGUUUAGCAUAUCCUAAAUCA